GACGAACCGUGCGAACGUUAUUCGGAAUCACUGGGCUUAAAGCGCGUGUAGGCGGCCCGGCACGUCCGUCGCUGAAAUCCCCCGGCUCAACCGGGGAAGGGGCGUGGAUACGGCCGGGCUGGAGGGGGGUAGGGGGGACGGGAACUUCCGGUGGAGCGGUGAAAUGCGUUGAGAUCGGAAGGAACGCCCGCGGCGAAAGCGCGUCCCUGGACCCCACCUGACGCUGAGACGCGAAAGCCAGGGGAGCGAACGGG
rnacentral:rRNA from 1 species